GUAGGUGAACCUGCGGAAGGAUCAUUAACACGUAUCCUUACGUUUAACCACUUUUCUUUCUUGCCGCGCGUUGCGGGUUGCGCAAGUGGUUUUGACCUGACCGCUGGAAAAAUUGACACCAUGACUAACCAACCACGCUCCUACCCCCAACGGGGUCCGGAGUAGGUAACCCCGAACAACUGUUAACAAUGGAUAUCUUGGCUCUC
rnacentral:misc_RNA from 1 species